rnacentral:rRNA from 1 species
UUUUCCGGCAAGGUUAAGCAUCUUGAGAUGUGCAGCCGAAGCGAAAGCGAGUCUGAACAGGGCGUCGAGUCGGAAGGAGUAGACGCGAAACCAAGUGAUCUACCCUUGGUCAGGUUGAAGGUUAGGUAACACUAACUGGAGGACCGAACCGAUAAGCGUUGAAAAGCUUCCGGAUGAACUGAGGGUGGGGGUGAAAGGCUAAUCAAACUUGGAGAUAGCUCGUACUCCCCGAAAUGCAUUUAGGUGCAGCCUUGUGAGUUACUAAUGUGAGGUAGAGCGACUGAUAAGAUGCGAGGGCUUCACCGCCUAUCAAGUCUUGAUAAACUCCGAAUGCGCAUUAGUUCUAUCACAGGAGUGAGGGCAUGGGUGCUAAGGUCCAUGUCCUAAAGGAGAAGAAUCCAGACCAUCAGCUAAGGUCCCCAAAUAAACACUAAGUUGAACUAACGAAGUCAGAUUGCUAAGACAGCUAGGAUGUUGGCUUGGAAGCAGCCAUUCAUUUAAAGAGUGCGUAACAGCUCACUAGUCGAGGAGUUUGGCGUGGAUAAUAAUCGGGCAUUAAGUGUUUUACCGAAGCUAUGGGAUCAGUAAUGAUCGGUAGGGGAGCAUUCCACUCUGCGUCGAAGGUGAAGCGUGAGCUUUGCUGGAGCGUGUGGAAAAGCAAAUGUAGGUAUAAGUAACGAUAAAGGGGGUGAGAAACCCCCUCGCCGAAAGACUAAGGUUUCCUGAUCAACGCUAAUCGGAUCAGGGUUAGUCGGGUCCUAAGGCUCAGCCGAACGGUGAGGCCGAUGGCAGAACAGGUUAAUAUUCCUGUACUACCUUAAGGAGUGACGUGGAGACGGAGGCGUGACAGCGCCGCGGACUGACGGAAUAGUCCGUUGAAGGGUGUAGAUGUUGAUUAUCCCAGGCAAAUCCGGGAUAAGAGUCGAACCUGAUAGUAUGGAGCGUUCUUCGGAACAAUCCAAUAGUGCGUGUAAUCAUACUCCCAAGAAAAUCCGCUAAACUUAAUCCUUGAGGUACCCGUACCGCAAACGGACACACGUAGUCGGGUUGAAUAUACUAAGGCGCUUGAGUGAUUCACGGUUAAGGAACUAGGCAAAUUGACCCUGUAACUUCGGGAUAAAGGGUCCCAACGAGAGUUGGGCGCAGAGAAUAGGUCCAGGCAACUGUUUAACAAAAACACAGGGCUGUGCCAAAUUGAAAGAUUACGUAUACAGCCUGACACCUGCCCGGUGCUGGAAGGUUAAGAGGAGAUGUCAUCGCAAGAGAAGCAUUGAAUUGAAGCCCCAGUAAACGGCGGCCGUAACUAUAACGGUCCUAAGGUAGCGAAAUUCCUUGUCGGGUAAGUUCCGACCUGCACGAAUGGUGUAAUGAUCUGGACACUGUCUCAACCGUGAGCUCAGUGAAAUUGUAGUAUCGGUGAAGAUGCCGAUUACCCGCGAUGGGACGAAAAGACCCCGUGAACCUUUACUAUAGCUUAACAUUGAAUUUGGGUAAUUGAUGUGUAGGAUAGGCCGGAGACUUUGAAGCAGGUACGCCAGUAUUUGUGGAGUCGCUGUUGAAAUACGGCCCUUUGAUUAUUUGAGUUCUAACUCGUGGUACGAGGACACUGUUUGGUGGGUAGUUUGACUGGGGUGGUCGCCUCCAAAAUAGUAACGGAGGCUUCUAAAGGUGCCCUCAGGACGAUUGGUAACCGUCCGCAGAGUGUAAUGGCAUAAGGGCGCUUGACUGGGAGACUUACAAGUCGAUCAGGUAGGAAACUAGAGCAUAGUGAUCCGGUGUUUCCGUAUGGAAGGGACAUCGCUCAAAGGAUAAAAGGUACUCCGGGGAUAACAGGCUGAUCCCUCCCAAGAGCUCAUAUCGACGGAGGGGUUUGGCACCUCGAUGUCGGCUCGUCACAUCCUGGGGCUGGAGAAGGUCCCAAGGGUUGGGCUGUUCGCCCAUUAAAGUGGCACGCGAGCUGGGUUCAGAACGUCGUGAGACAGUUCGGUCUCUAUCUAUCGUGGGCGUAUGAAAUUUGCGUGGCUCUGACACUAGUACGAGAGGACCGUGUUGGACUGACCGCUGGUUUACCAGUUGUGCCGCCAGGUGCAUUGCUGGGUAUCUAAGUCGGGAUUGGAUAAGUGCUGAAAGCAUCUAAGUACGAAGCCAGCCACAAGAUUAGAUUUCUUAGGGUCGUUAAAGACGAUGACGUUGAUAGGAUGCAGGUGUAAAGGUGGUAACAUCAAAGCCGAGCAUUACUAAUUGCCCGUUCACUUUCUUU